GGCUCAGUGGUAGAGUGCUUGCUUUGCAUGCAUGAGGCCUUGGGUUCGAUUCCUCA
rnacentral:tRNA from 1 species